rnacentral:rRNA from 1 species
CAGUCGCCGCGGUAAUACGAAGGGGGCUAGCGUUGCUCGGAAUUACUGGGCGUAAAGGGAGCGUAGGCGGAUCGUUAAGUUGGGGGUGAAAGCCCGGGGCUCAACCUCGGAACUGCCUUCAAUACUGGCGAUCUUGAGUAUGAGAGAGGUGUGUGGAACUCCGAGUGUAGAGGUGAAAUUCGUAGAUAUUCGGAAGAACACCAGUGGCGAAGGCGACACACUGGCUCAUUACUGACGCUGAGGCUCGAAAGCAUGGGGAGCAAACAGGAUUAGAUACCCCAGUAGUCCCUGUCUCUUAUAC